ensembl:lncRNA
UUUUUAUUUAAUGAGGAUUCAUGACUCACCACCAUUCUCUAUAUCUUCUCCCUAUUUAUUUGUUUGUUUGUUUCCUCUUUAUCCUAUCCUUUAAAGGAAAAAAAAGAUUAUUUGUAUAAGCAAGCACCCCACAAUCAUCUCAAUCUCCAGUUAUUUCACUAGUCCUUCAAAUGUAGGAUAAAGCUGCAGUAGUCAUCAGUUACACCACUGCAGAGUAUCUAUGCCAGAGCUGUGUUGGUGCAAAUCCAUGCUGACAAAACUGCAACACUGGCUAACUCGCAUUCACUUCUGAAACCAGAAAGGCAGCCGGACCCCUGUAGUGGCCCAUACCAGCAGCCAGGAGCAAAGACAGCAUGCCUCCCAGCCUGCCAGCCCCACUGAAGGGACUCAGAUGCAGCAAAGUAGACCUCACCCUUGACUGACUGCCCAGGUUUAAAUCAGCUUCUUAUCACUUGAACCAGCUUGUGUGCAACUUCUGUCCCUAGCCUUCAUGAUAAGAGGUCCUGGCUUUCCAUACUGAAUUCAUAUGAGUCUUCCGCUAAUUCAUCUACAUCUCUUCGGUCCACUAUACCCCUUCCUUUCCAAGGCUCCAAUCAAGUCUUUUUAUUAGCUGUGUGAGAACCUAUUUGGGGAACUGAAAAGGUGGCCUAGCAUUUGACAAACCUGCAGUGCUCAUCUCCAGUCACAGUAGACCUGCGGAACUAGUGGAUUCCACCGGAGAUUGGAGUGUGGUUAGUAGAGACCUACCAAACCUACCACAAUUUCACAGAUUUCAUCGAAAUCAGAGAGUGACACUCCUUGAGGAGAUUACAUCCAUCAUUGUUUUGAUUCAGUGGGAGCUGCAUGUACCCAGCAUCUCUGAAGAUCAAUCCUGCAUUUUCAGUGUAUCUGUAAACCUUUUGGGGCUUGUCAAGGUCUACAUGUAUAACAAGUAUGUAAACCUGGUAGAGAAGAUACUAAUUUUUGACUUGGUACAGUUGGUGUUUUGUUGCCUCUCCCUUUGUGCGAGUUUGGUGUUUGAGCUUCAUUUGAGUGCUCAUCUCCUCUUCUUCCCACUACACUGCCCCCUUUUUACACAUUCCCUACACUGCAAGAUAAAGGGCGUUCUGCAGUUUGAAGUGCCAAGACUUGCUAAAGCGCUUAUGCAAGUUAAUUACUGUGCCUGUUUAAUCCCAUAUAAUGCAGAUUAGUGCUGUCAAAUACCAUUCCAAGAGCAAUUCAUGUAACAGGCAGGCCUGCUGUCAUUUAGCUCAUUUAAUCAGAGAAACCUCUGUCUUGAAUAAUACCAGAGAUGAUAAUCUUGAAGCUAGGGAAUGCAAACAGCACCAUGAAUGGAAAUGUCCAACUGUGUUACAAAUCAGUGUGCAAUGCAUGGGUGCAAAAGUUAAAUGGACAUAUUAAGAUCGUCUUUUCCUAUGACAAAAAGGAAUUAUAAGUGAAGGUAUUGAACUUCCUGUUUCAAAGUAAUAAGCAUAAUGAAUAAGCAUUUAUGCCUCUAAGUUUGUUGGCCUUAGGUAUAUAGGUACAAAUGGAACGGACACAUGGCUGAUGCCAGUGCUCACAAUGAACUGCAUGGCUUCAAAAGACCCCAAAAACCAAAUUAGUAGUUUCUUACUAAAUUAAGCACAAUGUUAAAAUACAUUUCUACUAGAAUGAACACCAUUAGGAUAAAUAAAUAAACAAAUAAAUACA